GCGAGUAUUCGUGACCAAAGGGUCGGAGUCGAACGAGUUCAAGGACAUGGUGGUGGAGCUCAUGACGUCCGCCGGCCUCUUCAAUAUAGGUGACUUUAUACCUUCCAUUGCGUGGAUGGAUUUACAAGGGAUUGAAGGCGAGAUGAAGAAAUUACAUAACAGAUGGGAUGUACUUUUGACAAAGAUGAUGAAAGAGCAUGAGGAAACAGCUUAUGAACGCAAGGGGAAGCCUGAUUUUCUUGAUAUAAUUAUGGAUAACAGAGAAAACUCUGCAGGGGAAAGGCUUAGUUUGACCAAUGUC
rnacentral:lncRNA from 1 species